rnacentral:lncRNA from 1 species
UAGCUCCAGUCUCACCCCAACCUGGAAACUUGCAUAUGCCAUGGGUACGGCCCUAAAAAACGAAAAAAGAAAAAGAAAAAGAAAGAAAGUGGGGCAAUUCCACGAUGGGUGUCUCAAUGAAUCUCUUCUACAGGGAGGAGAAGCUAGGAUGAGGGUAAAGCUGUAAUUGGUAAAGAAUUAGUGGUUGCUCAUUUCAGCUAAGAGAGGGUAUUCGGUAUUUUGUGGGUGGCACAGUGACUCGCUUUUGUCUGUGUUUUCCCCACAUCAUGCAGUGGUCUUGCUCGGCUGAAUUUUUGUUAUGAGUCUCAGGGCAGCCUCGUCUGAAGCAGGUAUUCUGGGAGAUUGUCUACAUCACUGGCAGAGUCACAAGCUCAGCCAGGAGCCCCCAGCCAGCUUCUGAAUGCAGAGGCUGCUCCUCUUUCUUUCUCAGUAGCUUUAGGCAUUCUUGUUCUCUAACUGGCAGAGCACAUACUUUUAUAUGUGGGUGUAUAUACACUACCCCUUUUGCAACAAGGAUAAUCCUAUUUUAGGUUGGGUUGGAUAGGAGAAUGAACGCAAAGGAAAUAAUAAGGACAGUUCAGGAGUGACCUCAUGGCAGAGUCGAUUAAGGAUCCAGUAUUGUCACUGCAGCAGCUCAGGUUGAUGCUGUGGCACAGGUUCCAUCUCUGUCCCUGGAAUUUUCACAUGCCGUGGGGACACAGCCAACAAGAAGGAAAAAGAAAGAACAGUUCAGUACACUCCCUGGUCGCCUUUCUAAACAGCUGGCUCUUUGGAGAGCUGAUGCCUUUCUCCUCUGCCUCUUAAGCUUGAGUACCGUGUUGCCUUCUCUGUUACCCUGAGAUGAGCAACAAGACACAAACAAGGCAACAAUCCUUUCUUAGGAUGAAAGCGAUGAUCAGCAUGGGUUUUCACUCUUGUUUUGAAAGAAGCAUUCUCAGAGUGUUUAAUAAUCUUUUAAGAGGAGUUCCCUGGUGGCCUUAUCAGUUAAGGAUCCUGCAUUGUCACUGCUGUGGCUUGGGUUACUGCUGUGGUGUGGUGCGGGUUCCUUUCCUGGCCUGGGAACUUUUGUAUGCCCCUCACACAGCUCCCCCCCAAAAAAAAAUCUAUAAGAGGAAAAAAAAUUUUUUUUUGAUACCUUUAGUUCAAGUUCUCUCUGCUGUGCUCACUACUAAGCAUUGACACCAUUGGCCCCUGAACUGUUUCUCAAAUUUUCCCUAGUUCUCUUUUUUUUUUCCACUAGAAAACAAAUAUUUCUAGCAUUCAGAAGAGUUUCCAUAUUUCUGCGCUCAGAGGUAUUAAUGGGGCUAUU